rnacentral:rRNA from 1 species
UACGGGGGGGCAAGCGUUGUUCGGAAUUACUGGGCGUAAAGGGCUCGUAGGCGGCCAACUAAGUCAGACGUGAAAUCCCUCGGCUUAACCGGGAACUGCAUCUGAUACUGGAUGGCUUGAGAUUGGGAGAGGGAUGCGGAAUUCCAGGUGUAGCGGUGAAAUGCGUAGAUAUCUGGAGGAACACCGGUGGCGAAGGCGGCAUCCUGGACCAACACUGACGCUGAGGAGCGAAAGCCAGGGGAGCAAACGGGG